UCUCGAUUGGUCUAGUGGUAAGGAUACCUGCUUGUCAUUUCUUCUGUUAUUAGGUCCGCAGGUGGCCGGGGUUCGAUUCCCCGAUCGAGAG